AGGGGGAAUGGUCGGGAUAGCUCAGUUGGUAGAGC
rnacentral:tRNA from 1 species